rnacentral:rRNA from 1 species
UACGUAGGGUGCAGGCGUUUAAUCGGAAUUACUGGGCGUAAAGUGUGCGCAGGCGGUCUCUUAAGUCAGGGGUGAAAUCCUGGAGCUCAACUCCAGAACUGCCUUUGAUACUGAGGAUCUUGAGUUCGGGAGAGGUGAGUGGAACUGCGAGUGUAGAGGUGAAAUUCGUAGAUAUUCGCAAGAACACCAGUGGCGAAGGCGGACUCACUGGCCCGAUACUGACGCUGAGGCACGAAAGCGUGGGGAGCAAACAGGG